AACGAACGCUGGCGGCAGGCCUAACACAUGCAAGUCGAGCGAGGACUUCGGUUCUAGCGGCGGACGGGUGAGUAACGCGUGGGAAUGUGCCCUUCUCUACGGAAUAGCCCUGGGAAACUGGGAGUAAUACCGUAUACGCCCUAUUGGGGAAAGAUUUAUCGGAGAAGGAUCAGCCCGCGUUGGAUUAGGUAGUUGGUGGGGUAAUGGCCUACCAAGCCGACGAUCCAUAGCUGGUUUGAGAGGAUGAUCAGCCACACUGGGACUGAGACACGGCCCAGACUCCUACGGGAGGCAGCAGUGGGGAAUCUUAGACAAUGGGGGCAACCCUGAUCUAGCCAUGCCGUGUGAGUGAUGAAGGCCUUAGGGUUGUAAAGCUCUUUCAGCUGGGAAGAUAAUGACGGUACCAGCAGAAGAAGCCCCGGCUAACUCCGUG
rnacentral:rRNA from 1 species